AAACUGAGGAUAAUACCGGAUAGGCAAUUAUUCCUGCAAUGGUUUUUUGUUUAAAUGUUUUUUCGCCUAAGGAUGGGUCUGCGGCCGAUUAGGUAGUUGGUUAGGUAAUGGCUUACCAAGCCGUUGAUCGGUACGGGUUGUGAGAGCAAGAGCCCGGAGAUGGAACCUGAGACAAGGUUCCAGGCCCUACGGGGUGCAGCAGGCGCGAAACCUCCGCAAUGUGAGAAAUCGCGACGGGGGGAUCCCAAGUGCCAUUCUUAACGGGAUGGCUUUUCAUUAGUGUAAAGAGCUUUUGGAAUAAGAGCUGGGCAAGACCGGUGCCAGCCGCCGCGGUAACACCGGCAGCUCUAGUGGUAACAAUUUUUAUUGGGCCUAAAGCGUCCGUAGCCGGUUUAAUAAGUCUCUGGUGAAAUCCUGUAGCUUAACUGUGGGAAUUGCUGGAGAUACUAUUAGACUUGAGACCGGGAGAGGUUAGAGGUACUCCCAGGGUAGAGGUGAAAUUCUGUAAUCCUG
rnacentral:rRNA from 1 species